CGAGCUCGUGUGGCCUCGCUGAGGGGGGAGCAGGUCUGUGUGCUCGAGGCAUCUCCUCCGGAGAGCUCUCCCCGAGGGAGCUGUGCAGCCAGGAGCUCUCCCGAGGUUUGCAGAGGUUUGUCUGUGUCCCUGCACCCCUGUGCCAGCAUCUCCUCUCAACAGAUGGCUGGAGGGCAGCGAUGAUGGAGGUGAAGUGAUGCAGCCUCAGACUCUGGUACCCAGGAAGAUGCAGCUUUGAUGGCAAGUGAACCUGCAGAUCUGUCUGCUGAAAACACGGCCCCAGAGGAGCCCUGUGGCUGCCCUUGGUCUCAGGUGGCACACACAGAUGGGCACCUCCAGCAGCCUCAGUCCCAGCUCCUCACUCUGCCAUCCCAGCGCCUUUGCAUAAGGAGCAACCCAAGGCACUGGACCAGUCUCAAUAGUGGUGAUUAUUGAAACUUUGUGAGGGCCUUGGUUGGAAGAAGUGCCAAGAAGGCAGAAAUUGAAUCGAGUCUGAUAAAAGUGACUUCCUGAAUAUUGCAUAACAGUUUACGUCUGUCAGGAGGGAAGACAAACAGACCUGACCUUGAACUUGGAAAGUUUCCUCCCAGCAGUGCAUGAACAGCUGACUUGUCCUUCUGGCUGCUCUCAGGUCUUUCUGAGCCAUCGUUGCCCAUCCCAUGUGCCUCCCUCUCUUCUGGCUGCACCCAGGCUGAGUUUGCUGCAAGGGAACACUGCUCAGGCGAUGGAGUAUCCAUGUCAGCCCCCCUACGGUUAAAACCAACCUUUUUGAUACCAAAUUUCCAGCUACUGAAGGUAAUUGAGACUGCAAACAAAAUCUCACUAUCCACUGAUCUGCCAAAUCAAAUUUCUUCUCCUGUUUGCAAAAAUAAGCACCGGUGAAUGAAGAUGAAAGGGAAAUGUUGCUGGUUUCUUCCCUGGAGAUCGUAUUUCUUACUUGUUGCAUAACUGCUUAUUUUAGCAUCAAUCAGCCGAGCCUUUGUUGUGCAGACAAUUCUGUCCUUUUAGAGGAUUUGUGCAGUAUUGUUUCUUCCAAAAUGCCUUUUUUUUUUUGUUUUUGUUAUUAGAUUUAUUUCUUCUCUUAGCAAAUGCCAACUGACAACACCCCAUCAGAGCUCUUCAUAAGUGUUACAUAAAUGUCAUACUAUGUAAACUGAGUGUUGGAUGUAUCAUAUACAUGACUUUUCUUGGAGAACCAUCCAUCAGGUGCUAUCUGAGUGUGUGUGUCACAUUUAUGUAUUUGUACACAAGCCGUGUUUAAGUGUGCAUGCAUGGUAGCCAAAAUUCUGUUAUGGAAAGUACUCAAAAUGCAGAAAUGUCUGAACUCUUCUUGUCAGUGCAACUUCAUCUACCCCCUUUUGUUGAGGCAGAACAAGACUUUAAUUUCAUGUUCAGAUACUCUUUUCCUUCUGCAUCGCUGUGUGUGCAGUGAGAUGGGCAGCAAGGGGCUCAGUGAUGCCUAUUGUUCAGCACACGAGCCUGGGCAGAGUACAUUAUUCAGCACAUUAUUCACAUGUCUGACCACUUUUGGAUUUCACAGCGAUAGAAAACACAGCUCAAAUACUUCUCGGUGCAGUUUUCAAAGCAGAGCCAGGUGCUGAUGUUCUGGAUGGCAAAAAUGCUUUGAGGUUGCAUCUCAUAGGCAUGCUGUGGACCUGCCCUGCCACGCUGUGACCUUCCUUAGAGAUGUGGUCCAGAAAUCAUGGAGAAAUGACCUCAAAGGGUGGGAAGGCUGCAGUGUGCAGUACAGGACCAGAGCAGGGGGAUCUGCAGGUUCCUCAAAAGACACAAUUAUUAAUGUCCUCAUGGUUCUUUCUGUAGCACUUUCCACUACACUGCCUCAGUGCUUCAGCACCUUCAUUAAUCCUCCCCAAACGCCCGUUUUGAAGAUGGGUCAGGGUGACACAUGGAUGGAUUAAGGUCAGUUUUGACUAAUUCAGGGUACUCCGUCUGAAAAGCAUAAUGUCUGCUUUUUCAGAGCAUUUAACAUGAUACAGCACUUCAUACAUGCAAGCACAGCACCCACUGCUUCCAGCUGCACGAAGAUGGAUGUCAGCAAUUCAGGCUAAAGGUUUCCAGCCACGCACCCGCAGUGUGGGCACUGCAGCCACCAGCAGCCAAAAGUUUGGGUUAAUGACUUUGUUAGCAUCAUACAGCCUGUGGCAAGGGCAUGGAGGGAAUCUGCUUCUUUGGGAGAGUUUUGUCCUAUUGUCGCAGUCUCUCUGAGUCUCACAGCCCUUGCAUUGCUCCCUGGGCAGUUUAUGGUUCUGCAGAUAAGAUGAGAAUCUGACCAGUGUUUUCUUUUUGACUUACACAGCAGGUCCGGGAUGUGCAGGUGUUGUAAGGAAAUCAGACUGGGGCAGUGUAAUUAAGAACUGCAUUACAGUAUGUGUGCACAAUAAAAUUGGUAUGGAAUGCCUCA